ACGAACGCUGGCGGCGUGCUUAACACCUGCCAGUCGAACGAUGAAGCGGGUGCUUGCACUCGUGGAUUAGUGGCGAACGGGCGAGUAACACGUGAGUAACCUGUCCUUUUCUUUGGGAUAACGGCUGGAAACGGCUGCUAAUACUGGAUAUUCAGGCUGCAUCGCAUGGUGUGGUUUGGAAAGGUUUUUUCUGGGAUUGGGUGGGCUCGCGGCCUAUCAGCUUGUUGGUGGGGUGAUGGCUUACCAAGGCUUUGACGGGUAGCCGGCCUGAGAGGGUGGUCGGUCGCACUGGGACUGAGAUACGGCCCAGACUCCUACGGGAGGCAGCAGUGGGGAAUAUUGCACAAUGGACGAAAGUUUGAUGCAGCGACGCCGCGUGGAGGGUGUAGGCCUUCGGGUUGUGAACUCCUUUUUCUCGCGAAAAAGGCACAGUUUUGGCUGUGUUGAUGGUAGUGGGGGAAGAAGCGCCGGCUAACUACGUG
rnacentral:rRNA from 1 species